rnacentral:rRNA from 1 species
UACGUAGGGUGCAAGCGUUGUCCGGAAUUAUUGGGCGUAAAGAGCUCGUAGGUGGCCUGUCGCGUCGGCUGUGAAAACUCGGGGCUCAACUCCGAGCUUGCAGUCGAUACGGGCAGGCUAGAGUUCGGCAGGGGAGACUGGAAUUCCUGGUGUAGUGGUGAAAUGCGCAGAUAUCAGGAGGAACACCGGUGGCGAAGGCGGGUCUCUGGGCCGAUACUGACACUGAGGAGCGAAAGCGUGGGGAGCGAACAGG